CUCCUCCAUGGGGCAUAAGAUGAAAUCAAUACAUUCUGAUUUUCUCCUCCGUUAAACUCUCAAUGACUGAAACAGUAGUGUAGCUGGGGAGAGUUUAGUAGCUCAACUACCACAUACUAAAUUCUUCUUCAGGAUUAUGGGGCUUUAUUUAGGUGCCAAUUGGUAGAGCUUUAGGGCUUUAAUGGGUUCAAAAAUGCACUAAUAAUCAGCAAAAAUAAAUAGAGCACUCAUGGAGGAAUGAAGAUAAUUAUUUGUGGAACCAUCUGGCAUAAUAGCUACCCUCAUAGCAUGGUAACUAAAUGCUGCAACACUAUUAAAGUUAAUAAACAAAGAGAGAUUGUUAAGUGAAAUGGUGCCAUGAAAUUGGUGAGCAAGGAUUUCAGAAGUACUACAAAUAUUUCUCAGCAAAAAACCCAGCCACGUUAUAGGUAUCCUCUAUCAUCAUCCCUCACCUUACAGGUGCUCCUGGCUAGCUGCCAGUAAAUGGCAAAGCCAGGGAUUUGGAGCCAGCACUGAUUUAGAUUUCAUGCUCCUGACUCAUAUACUACACUGUCAAAGAUAAAGUAAGUUGGUUGACUGACUCAAGGUUCAUCACUAUGCCCCAGAGAUUCCCAUUUCAGGAUUUGGUAGAGAAGAAUGAAGUAACUUGCCCUUCACACCAUGUACUUGGGAAAGAGAAGACAAAUGUGAAGUCUUUUGUGCCAGGGUUCCCAUAGAACAGUAGAGGCCUUCCAUGGAACCCAAUUGUACCUCCUUGACAGACUUUUUAUUGUUAAAAUUUCAAUAUAUGGCAUUUUAGGAAAAAUAUAAGUCAUCAACUUUGACUCAAAUUUGCAAGCUAUCAAUAGGAGCCUUCGUGACUUACCCACAGGUUGAGAAUUAUUAUGGAAGCCUUUGUUGUUAUGAUUUAUAUGCUUCCCUUUCUGAGCGGGCUUGUGUGCACAAAUAUAUAAAAAUAAUAAUAGCUGAUAUGACUUAUUCUUCCGGUGUGCUCACCCCUAUUGACCCACUGACAUCACUUCAUAUCCACUGAGUUUUCAAAGAAGAAAAUAUUCAGUUCUUAAAAAAAAUUAAAGACUUUUGCAUUCUUCAUAGCUUAAAAUAAACUCUUCUUGACUUUUCA
rnacentral:lncRNA from 1 species